UAGAGAGAUGGAUCAAUGGAUGGAGGAGACAGGGAGCUGGAUGAGAGAGGUGGAGAGAUGGAUGAAUGGAUGAAAGAAAUAGGUGGAUGGAUGGAUGGAUGGAUGUUGCACUUCAGCCAGAGUUCACCUUGCCCUUAACACCAACCAGGAAGCCAAAAUUUGGACCUGAACCUGUUUGGCUGGAGAUGCUGUUUCUGCAGACAUUGGAGCUACACUGCUUUGGAUUCUUCGUGCUUCGACCUUGGACUUCGGCUGCCGACGCUUCUCUUCUUGCAACUCCCUCUGUUAACCAUUUGUGUACUGUGCCUUUUUGUUUUGCCUUAGAGCACUUCGUUUGACUUGUUGCCUUUUUCAUCCAGUUGAUCUGGAUUACAUUUCUGUUUACCCUUUUGAACCAGGUCUGGUUUGGGUUUUUGAGUUUUUGACCAGUGGAACUGCAUUUAAGUAUCCCUGCAUCCUUUUCCUUUUGUUUCAAUAAACUCUGUUUUGAAGACACUUUUAA